rnacentral:tmRNA from 1 species
GGGGGCGUUCUUGGAUUCGACGGGGAUGUUGAAGCUUGAGGUGCAUGCCAAGGUGGUCGAGUGCCUUGUUAAAAACGCGACAACUUGUAUAGUUGCAAACGAUAACAACUACUCUUUAGCAGCUUAAACCCUGCUUUCCGUUACUGAUUCUGUGUUCGUUCGGGGUUAGUCGCGGUCAAUUUAAACGAUCUAGGGCAAUGUCAGUCUAGGGGCACUGCGCGAAAUUUACUAGAACCGCCAUAUUUAACCCUGCCAAUCGGGUCUAAAUAGGUCAAAUUAAAGAUAUGGCUAAGCAUGUAGUACCGGGAGUGGAUUAUUUUCGGACGGGGGUUCAAAUCCCCCCGCCUCCACCA